AACGAACGCUGGCGGCAGGCUUAACACAUGCAAGUCGAACGGCUGUAGCAAUACAGCAGUGGCAGACGGGUGAGUAACACGUGGGAACCUUCCUAGGGGUACGGAACAACUCAGGGAAACUUGAGCUAAUACCGUAUACGUCCGUGAGGAGAAGGAUUUAUCGCCCUUAGACGGGCCCGCGUCGGAUUAGGUAGUUGGUGGGGUAACGGCCUACCAAGCCUACGAUCCGUAGCUGAUCUGAGAGGAUGAUCAGCCACACUGGGACUGAGACACGGCCCAGACUCCUACGGGAGGCAGCAGUGGGGAAUAUUGGACGAUGGGCGCAAGCCUGAUCCAGCCAUGCCGCGUGAGUGAAGAAGGCCUUAGGGUUGUAAAGCUCUUUUGCCAGGGACGAUAAUGACGGUACCUGGAGAAUAAGCCCCGGCAAACUUCGUGCCAGCAGCCGCCGCUG
rnacentral:rRNA from 1 species